GAUGAACGCUGGCGGCGUGCUUAACACAUGCAAGUCGAACGAACCCGAUCUUCGGAUCACAUGGGUGAGUGGCGAACGGGUGAGUAACACGUGAGAAACCUGCCCCAAAGUUCGGAAUAACUCAGGGAAACUUGAGCUAAUACCGGAUGCCCUCCAUUGGUCGAAUGGCCGACGGAGGAAAGAUUUAUCGCUUUGGGAGGGUCUCGCGGCCUAUCAGCUUGUUGGUGAGGUAAUGGCUCACCAAGGCAUUGACGGGUAGCUAGUCUGAGAGGACGAAUAGCCACACUGGGACUGAGACACGGCCCAGACUCCUACGGGGAGGCAGCAGUGGGGAAUCUUGCACAAUGGGCGAAAGCCUGAUGCAGCGACGCCGCGUGGGGGAUGAAGGCCUUAGGGUCGUAAACCCCUUUCAGGAGGGACGAAAAUGACGGUACCUCCAGAAGAAGGUCCGGCCAACUACGUGCCAGCAGCCGCGGUAAU
rnacentral:rRNA from 1 species